AACGGCGAGUGAAGCGGGAAGAGCUCAAAUUUAAAAUCUGGCGGUGUAUUCCGUCCGAGUUGUAGUCUAGAGAAGCAUCAUCCGUGCUGGACCAUGUACAAGUCUCUUGGAACAGAGCGUCAUAGAGGGUGAGAAUCCCGUCCUUGACAUGGACUCCCAGUUCUUUGUGUUGUGCUCUCAACGAGUCGAUUUGUUUGGGA
rnacentral:rRNA from 1 species